AUUGAACGCUGGCGGCAGGCUUAACACAUGCAAGUCGAGCGGGGGAGGUUGCUUCGGUAACUGACCUAGCGGCGGACGGGUGAGUAAUGCUUAGGAAUCUGCCUAUUAGUGGGGGACAACAUUUUGAAAGGAAUGCUAAUACCGCAUACGUCCUACGGGAGAAAGCAGGGGAUCUUCGGACCUUGCGCUAAUAGAUGAGCCUAAGUCGGAUUAGCUAGUUGGUGGGGUAAAGGCCUACCAAGGCGACGAUCUGUAGCGGGUCUGAGAGGAUGAUCCGCCACACUGGGACUGAGACACGGCCCAGACUACUACGGGAGGCAGCAGUGGGGAAUAUUGGACAAUGGGCGGAAGCCUGAUCCAGCCAUGCCGCGUGUGUGAAGAAGGCCUUAUGGUUGUAAAGCACUUUAAGCGAGGAGGAGGCUACUUUAGUUAAUACCUAGAGAUAGUGGACGUUACUCGCAGAAUAAGCACCGGCUAACUCUGUGCCAGCCGCCGCCGUAACAC
rnacentral:rRNA from 1 species